rnacentral:tRNA from 1 species
AAGAAAGUGGCAGAGUGGUGAUGUGAGCGGCUUGAAACCGCUAAAUGGGGGUUCGAUUCCCUCCUUUCUCG